GGUAAAGAAAAUCUAUUGCAGAAAAAGAUGAGCUCGUCUCCGUUAGCGUCAUCUCUCUUUUUCUCUCUUUCGACCUUGUCGGCUCAUAAGCAUGGCCGGAGCCGAAACUUCUGUGUCAGUCGGAAGGAACAGUGUCUUCGUGUUCGAGCUGCCAAGCUUCCGGAGGGGGUGAAUCCUUUAUUCUAUUUUCCCACAAAUCAAUAUCUCAAAACAAAACAAACAGCCUGCUGCGUGGUAAUAAAUAUAAUCGUUUUUGUAGGUGAUAGUGCCAAAAGUACAGCCCAAGUCUCAACCAGCGUUUCUGGGAUUCACACAAACAGCUGAGAUAUGGAACUCUAGAGCUUGCAUGAUUGGUCUCAUUGGCACUUUCAUCGUCGAGUUGGUGAGUUUUCUUCACAAAAGAAGCUUUUGUAUUAACGAAACUUAUAAACUAAAGCUGAAACAUUUUCAUUUUACAGAUUCUGAACAAAGGAAUACUUGAGUUGAUCGGGGUAGAGAUCGGUAAAGGCCUUGAUCUUCCUCUGUAAUCUAUUUUUAUGAAAUGUUAAACUCUUAAAAGCUUUAAUCACACAUCAUAAUGUAAAACUUGUUAUAUAUGUUAUCUUUUGGGAUUCUUCACAACCAGUGUUAAGGCUUUUUAGAGGACACGAGUGGUCCUUGCAUCUAUGAUGCCUACUUUACCUAAUGGUUCAGAGAGAGUCAAUGCUUCUGAAAGAGAGAUACGUCUGUUUCUCCAUGCAGAUUCAGCCCAUGAUUUCAUCUUCUCUCCUUCGCUUCUUCUGUUCACUUGAAUCAGUAGGAGCUCCGCAUAUCCUCCUGCACCAAUCACCCACCAAUCCAAGUUUUCUUAGCUAAUGUCGCAAUAAGUGAAAGAAAAAGAAAAGAAACAGAUUUAAUCUUCCCCACCUCUUGCUAGAGCCAUUACCUCCUGAGUCUCCACGUUUAUUAUCCCUAUAGUAAUCAGCAAAAUAUAUAUGGUGAGAGCAAACGGUAUUAAUUUAGGGUUCAAGAAUCUCUUCAAUGUACCUUCUGUAUCAUCCAGUGGAGGUGCUUUCAUGAGCUCCAAUGCUCUUCUAAAGAGUCCCUGAGAUGAUGAAAAGAAACAUGUGUAAGAUGAGGAAAGUCUAAUGCUUUGGAGUCUAAAGAAACUUUGUUGUUUCUGACCUCUUGAAUCAUAAUAGAACUCGAGCGUUCUUGCUUUGCUUUGUUCCGGUACAUGAGAGCUACUCCAGUUAAAAUCACGCCAACCUUGGGAUGACUGUGUCCUGAUCCGAGUACGCACAGUAUCCAUAAGACUGGUGCAUUAAUUAAAAUGAGUAGAUGGACCACAGAGUGUACCAUAAUGUGCCUCAGCGCUUGUCAAUGCACUUGUCAGUGUUUCCUCCGCAUCACCAAAGUUCCUAAUAAAUCGCAACACCAAAACAGAGUGACGAAUGAUAUUACCAGAGGUGAAUAAUUUAGAUUAGAGAGGACCACAAAACUCAAAGCUUACCCAAUGUGUGACUCUAACUGCCCAAGAGCAAAUGUGGCUGCUAAUGAGACUGCUUUCAAAUUCAUAUUACAAGAACUCAUGGAUUCCUUGGUCUCUGUCACUCCUUGAAUUGCCUUUUGAUACAUCUCCUUUGCCAUUUCGAAGUUUCCAGUGGCGUGCAAGAACUCACCAUAAGAAAGAGCAAUGUUACUACCUUUGCAGAUCUCAUGGUUCUCAAGUCCUUGAAACAAAGAUUCGGCUGCAUACACACAAAAAAAAAAAGACCUUACAAUUAGGCUAUACAUGAAACUAAGGAGGAUCAGAUAGAAGAAAAGUAAAGCUUGAGCUGCUCUUCUCUACCAGAUUCAAUACUUCCUUUCACAAGCUCAGUGAGGCCUUUGAUCGUUUUAGCUGUGGCAGCCACACCCUGAAGAUUCUCAUGGCCUCUCUCUUUAACCAGUUCCAGAAAUUCAUCAGCAACAUUCAGUGAAGCAUCAUCCUAAACAGGUCAAAUCAUAAUCAACUUUCUAACACAACCUCCCAUAUGUAACACACAAACUAAGUAGCACUGUUGGGAUUUGAACCUGUCCUGACUGAAUCAGAAGACCAACAAGAGCUUCCACAGCAACAACUGCCACAACAACAACCUUAACAAAAGAACACAUAUCCACAAAAAAAAAGUAAAGGUUUUGGAAAAACCUCUAAUAGACAAGGAAGAGAGGGUGAGAGACAUGACUUGCUUGAGGCGUUCAAUGGCCUCACUACUGUUCGCACUGUAAACCCACAAGAAACCAAACACACUAUAUAUAAUCUUAAGCAAAAGAUCAAUCAGAGAGAGAGAAAAGGGUAAAAAAAGAUGAAACCUUUCGUAUAGUAGAUCAGACAUAGCGAGCAAGACUGUUGCUUUAGAGUCCUGAGAAACCUGAUCAUCGCUAGCUUGAUUCCCAAGGCAUUGCUCAAGCACUAGCAUCCCUUGAGCAUAUGAUUCAUCUGCAAAAAAAAUUUCAAUUUUGUCAGAACCAUAGGGUUUAAGCGUUCAUUUGAAAGUCCGAUGAUCAUAAGUAGAUAAAAAAAAAAAACCUGAUCUUUGAGACCUAGCGUGAGAAAGAGCGUAAUUGACCAUCUGAAUCGCAACAUGAUUCGCGUUUGGAACGCUGAUUUCACCGUGAAUCAAUCUCAACGGCGUCGAGUAUCGGACAAGGCUGCUUCUAACGGGGAUCGCGCGGCCACGAAUCGUUGCGGCAGCAGCUCUUGCACAUUUGGUAGCAGCGUGAAUCAUAAUCGCUCGAUUUACUCUUUCUCGUGUCCAGGAGAAAGAAAGGUUCGUCUAUAGAAAAAACCUCAGCAGACAUGGGACGGAGCUCUUCCUCGCCGUCACUACCGGCGGUGGCCAAUAUCAAUUGGUUUAACCGGUAUAAUUUAAGUUUGGUUUGGUAAUUAAUUGGUUUGGUUCAAUACACUAAAAAUCCAAUUGAAUUAUGUUUUAUUUCGAAGAGUUUAAAUGUUUAAUUCAUGAUUUGUUCCCAAAAAAAGGAAAAAAAAAAUCAUGAUUGUAUAUUGUUCCAUGAUUUUGUGAUUACAUGACUAGUUUAUUUAAUCUCUUGCAAUAUAACUUAGUAAUAUAAAUGUAACGAUAAUUGCAGGAAUGGAGUAAAUGGAUGGUGGAAUUAGUCGCAGUAACCUCAUUAUCGGUCGCAUCAAAAUUUAACGACGUUACUUCCCCUUCACUUCAAGAACUUCAAAUGGAAGGGCUAACUCAUAUGUUUCAUCACAAGACCGUUCUUGAGAUGGAACUCAUUCUGUUGAAAGCUCUAGAAUGGCGUGUAAACUCGGUUACGAGUUUAUCUUUUUCUCAAAUUCUAAUGACCAAAAUGGGGAUCGUAGGAGGAGAUAUAAUGAUGAACCGAAUCACAGAACAUCUGUUAGAUGAUUUAUGCGGUAAGAAGACCAUAUACAGUAUAUAUAUGUGUGUGAAUAUUCAUUUAUUCAUUUUGAGGAUGUUUCUUGGUGAGAAAGAAAGUAAUAUUAUAAAACGAUGGACCAAUUCUGAAUCUGGAUGCAGAUUUGAAGAUGCUUGGAUAUGCACCAAGUGUUGUAGCGGUGGCGGCUAUGUGGACUGUCUUAGAAGAGAAAGCAGCUCUAGAAGAGAACUUUGGGAAAAUUAUGAAUCUUUUUGGACAAGAAUACAAGGUAAAAUCAAAUGUUAAUUUUGCACCUAUAGUAUAACAUUAACAAUUGGAAAUACGUGAUUUAUUUUGAUAAUUGCAGGAGAAUAUUGCCAAAUGUAUCAAUGUUAUGAAAUCUCGAAACGUUGAAAAGGGUUGGGGAAGAAAAGGUAGUGAAGUGAAGAGUCUUUUGAGUGUGUUGCAGAGAGGCGAUAUAAUGAACAUGAAUGAUGUUUAUUACGGCGGCGAUCUUUCUACCAUUUUUCAGAUUUUACGUUCCGAAGGAAUCAAUAAAAAGAGAGAUAGAGAUUUCAACGAAGACAAGCUUCGUCCUGCAAAAAGAAUGACAUUUGUUAUGUCAGAUUGAUUAUCACAUUUAUGAAAAGAGAUGAAACUACAUUUUUGAAUAACAGAGAAUAAAUAUGUUUUUUUUCUUUCUUUUACACAGAUUACAGUAAAACUGUCAUGUACUGUUGUUGAAUUAUGUAUGAUGAGAAUUGUUAAAUAAUUUUUAUUGUUCUUAUUUUAUUUUGUUAUUUAUUUAGUAUUUGAGGAAUAAAAAUUGGAAUAAAUACGCACACUAAAACAGAAUGGAAAUAAUAUCGCCAAAAAAAACAUGAUAAAAUUGUAUGAAUUAUCAUCACCACGCAAAUAAUUGAGUAUGGAGUAAACACGUGGCGAAAAAUGAAUGGAUGGAAGAAACAGAUCACUAUAUCCACAAGUGCAGUUCUGACUUGUGAAGAAGAUAAAGACUGUUGAAAAGGUAAAGAAAAUCUAUUGCAGAAAAAGAUGAGCUCGUCUCCGUUAGCGUCAUCUCUCUUUUUCUCUCUUUCGACCUUGUCGGCUCAUAAGCAUGGCCGGAGCCGAAACUUCUGUGUCAGUCGGAAGGAACAGUGUCUUCGUGUUCGAGCUGCCAAGCUUCCGGAGGGGGUGAAUCCUUUAUUCUAUUUUCCCACAAAUCAAUAUCUCAAAACAAAACAAACAGCCUGCUGCGU
rnacentral:lncRNA from 1 species